AGGUGGGGUAACGCAACAACACAGGGAAAAAAACAUGGCGUCGUCCGCGAUCACCUACUCCCGCUGAUACCGAUUCGUCUUUCACUGAAUAAAACGGUUUGUCCGGCGGGAAAUAGGAGUCGAAAAUCAUCAGUCACCCGCAUGUCCCGGCUGGCGGUGGUGUGCGGCGGCUCCAGGGGCAUCGGCAGCGCCGCGUCCCGCCUGCUGGCCGAGAGGGGCUGCAGGGUGGCCGUUGUGUCCCGGGACCAAGACGCGGCCCGGGCCACCGUGGCGUCCCUGCGCGGAGCUGAUCACGUGGCUUUUAGUUGCGAUGUCUCCAAAGAGCAUGAGGUGAAGAAGACCUUUGACGCUAUCCAGAAAACCUGUGGAAACAUCUGUUACCUGGUGAAUGCAGCUGGCAUCAACAGGGAUGCUCUGCUGCUGAGGACCAAGCCGGAGGACAUGGUGGCUCUGCUCCACACCAACCUGCUGGGCUCCAUGCUGACCUGCAGGGCGGCGCUGCGCGGCAUGCUGCACACGCAGGGAGCUGCCAUUGUGAAUAUAGGCUCUGUUGUGGGCCUGAAAGGAAAUGCUGGUCAGUGUGUUUACAGUGCCAGUAAAGCCGGUCUGGAGGGUUUCACACGAUCUCUGGCUAAAGAAGUUGCUUCACGUAAUAUCAGGGUUAAUCUGCUGGCUCCAGGUUUUAUCCGCACCGCCAUGACCACGGGGCUGAGGGAGGAGGAUGCCGUGCGUUCCGUUCCACUGGGGAGAUUUGGCGAGCCGGAGGAGGUGGCCCCGGCUGUUCUCUUCCUCUUGGAGUCUUCCUACGUAACGGGACAGGUGCUGGUGGUGGACGGAGGGCUGCAGCUGGCCAUGUAGCUGGCCAAAAUGUUCCAUCCGGCACAGUCGUCCCUCCUGAACGAUGAGGUCACCGGGCGCCUGCAGGAAGUGGGGGCGGAAGUGGCGCUCUUGGAUGUUGUCGUUCUCAUCACCGCUGUCUCUAGACCUGGACCGGGGCCUGAUUAUGAUUGGUGGGCGGAGCUGACACCUGGUGAGAUGCAGCACACCUGAGCAGGGUCAGAUCGGGGGGCAUAUAGAGCCGACCCGGAGGAGCUCCUGGCUUUCUCUCGCGACUGGCCUGCCGACUGACUGUGUCGUUUGCGGCAUGUUUUUUGUGUUGACUUUAUUCAUUUAAAACAUUGUUCUUUAUCUGAUAGGCUGUGUGGUCUCCCGCUUCCGUCACACGUUCACUUUUAGAUUUCUCAUCUUCCAGAUAGGACAGGAAUUUUUGGGGGCCAUCUUGUCCUUAUUUCCUGUUGUUGCAUUGACUCUUUCUUGAUCUCCUCCGUGAGCCUUGUACAGCAGGCCAGGACACCAGAGGUGUUUCUGAGAUACUUUACCCUAUCACAACAAUGACAUCAUCCCCCUGCCUGUCAACCAGGGAGCAGGAGACACUGAUUGUUAUCUUGAUCUCGCUCCAAAAACAUCUCUGAGCUCUUGUCUCACCUGGGAGUGUUCAUCUAGAUAACAGGUGUUUGUUUUUGCUUUUUUUAUGUUCCAUAGCGGGGCGUCUGUGACCUGGGUUUGGGUGAAUGCGUAUUAUGUAUACACGGUCAUUAGAGCGAUGGGAAAAGAAGAGGGAAAAAAAAGCGAGCAGAGCAAACGGGUGUUCCCUCUCAUUAACACGGAGCUCCUUUUCUUCCCUGGGACACAGUUCAGCAGAGAACAAAAUGUGCUCCCAGCAAACAUUAGAGUAAACAGCAGCAUCGUGUGAACGUUUUACAUCGGAGUCGCACACACUUU